rnacentral:rRNA from 1 species
UGGGGAAUAUUGCACAAUGGGCGCAAGCCUGAUGCAGCCAUGCCGCGUGUGUGAAGAAGGCCUUCGGGUUGUAAAGCACUUUCAGCGAGGAGGAAGGUGGUGAGCUUAAUACGCUCAUCAAUUGACGUUACUCGCAGAAGAAGCACCGGCUAACUCCGUGCCAGCAGCCGCGGUAAUACGGAGGGUGCAAGCGUUAAUCGGAAUUACUGGGCGUAAAGCGCACGCAGGCGGUUUGUUAAGUCAGAUGUGAAAUCCCCGGGCUCAACCUGGGAACUGCAUUUGAAACUGGCAAGCUAGAGUCUCGUAGAGGGGGGUAGAAUUCCAGGUGUAGCGGUGAAAUGCGUAGAGAUCUGGAGGAAUACCGGUAGCGAAGGCGGCCCCCUGGACGAAGACUGACGCUCAGGUGCGAAAGCGUGGGGCAGCAAACAGGAUUAGAUACCCUGGUAGUCCACGCUGUAAACGAUGUCGAUUUGGAGGUUGUGCCCCUUGAGGCGUGGCUUCCGGAGCUAACGCGUUAAAUCGACCGCCNGGGGAGUACGGCCGCAAGGUUAAAACUCAAAUGAAUUGC